rnacentral:rRNA from 1 species
UACAGAGGUCCCAAGCGUUGUUCGGAUUCACUGGGCGUAAAGGGCGCGUAGGCGGCCGGGUAAGUCUGAUGUGAAAUCUCACAGCUUAACUGUGAAACUGCAUUGGAUACUAUCCGGCUCGAGGAAUGGAGGGGAGACUGGAAUUCCUGGUGUAGCGGUGAAAUGCGCAGAUAUCAGGAGGAACACCGGUGGCGAAGGCGGGUCUCUGGGCCGAUACUGACGCUGAGGAGCGAAAGCGUGGGGAGCGAACAGG